rnacentral:snoRNA from 1 species
GUGAGCGUAGCGGGCAGCGCCUGAACGCUGAUGAGCUCAUCUCAGGGCGA